UUGUUGAUGAGUAAAUUGAUUUCCAGCUUACAUGUCUCGUAUUCAACAAAAGUAACGUCCAGUGUUUUUUUUUAAAAUUUAUUUGUAACGGCUAGUAUGUUGACUCAGUCCAACAUUUGCAAGUGUAAGGCUGAGAUACUUUAACUUUGUUGUAAGCUAUCGAUUAGCUUAGAACAGUAGUGAAGGGUUGGUUGACAAUAGUUUAUCAUAAUUUAAGCGAGCUCGCCAGACGAAGAAUCUAGACGUUUGAAAGUUCUCUCAAAUGUAUUGCAUCUUGUUGCUUUCAAAGUCCACCCAUCGUAUAGCGCU
rnacentral:lncRNA from 1 species